UUCUUGGUCAUUUAGAGGAAGUAAAAGUCGUAACAAGGUUUCCGUAGGUGAACCUGCGGAAGGAUCAUUACCGAGUGCGGGCCCUCGUGGCCCAACCUCCCACCCUUGUCUCUAUACACCUGUUGCUUUGGCGGGCCCACCGGGGCCACCUGGUCGCCGGGGGACAUCUGUCCCCGGGCCCGCGCCCGCCGAAGCGCUCUGUGAACCCUGAUGAAGAUGGGCUGUCUGAGUACUAUGAAAAUUGUCAAAACUUUCAACAAUGGAUCUCUUGGUUCCGGCAUCGAUGAAGAACGCAGCGAAAUGCGAUAAGUAAUGUGAAUUGCAGAAUUCCGUGAAUCAUCGAAUCUUUGAACGCACAUUGCGCCCCCUGGCAUUCCGGGGGGCAUGCCUGUCCGAGCGUCAUUUCUGCCCUCAAGCACGGCUUGUGUGUUGGGUGCGGUCCCCCCGGGGACCUGCCCGAAAGGCAGCGGCGACGUCCGUCUGGUCCUCGAGCGUAUGGGGCUUUGUCACUCGCUCGGGAAGGACUGGCGGGGGUUGGUCACCACCAAAAUUUUACCACGGUGACCUCGGAUCAGGA
rnacentral:rRNA from 1 species